UCGAAAAGGGUAAACAGGGCCACAGCUUUAAGGGACACAUGUUCGCCGUCGCUCGAGGGUCUCUGUCGUCCUUGCCCGCUCUCUGGUCUCCGUUCUCAGCCACAACCUCGAGAAGGCUGCCUAAAGAUCUCGAGCUCGGAAAAAUUCUCUCUUCCACAUAAAUUUGGACCAGCCCCCACCGCCACCCACCAUAGAGGAACCCUAGCGGUUAUCAGUCCCCUGGCGCCGUGGUGGUUGAUGGAUUGCCUCCACCAUGGCGCUGGCCUUCUCCCUGCGCCAUCACCCCCGUAUCGCUUCCCCUCUCCGCCCCUCACUUCCUCGUCCCAGGCCCCGCCGGCUUCCCUUCUGUGUUGCCUGCGUGAGGCCCUUGGCUUCUCCGGCUCCGGGGCAGGGUGAGGCGGCUCGCGGCGGGUCGGCCUUGGUGUGGUUCAAGAAUGAUCUCCGCGUUGAUGAUCACCCUGGCCUCGUGGCCGCCGUGGCUAAGCACGAGACGGUCGUCCCGCUUUACGUCUUCGAUCACCGGAUUUUGUCCGAUCUUUCUGAUGAAAUGAGAGAGCUACUUCUUUUCUCUGUGAAAGAACUCAAGGAGCUGCUUAAGGGUCAAGGAUCUGAUCUGCUUCUUGGCUUUGGAAGCACUGAAGAUGUCAUAUUAGAACUUGUAAAUAAGGUAAAGCCGAGUCACAUAUAUGCAGAAGAGGAGGUAGAAUAUAAUCUUCGUAAGCUGGCCACUACCGUCGAAUCAUCUUUAUCUGCAGUACCAUUCUCAUGGGGAAACCCUGAAUUUAUCUUUUGGAGGACUCCCUUUUAUGAUUUUAAGAAUUUAAAGGAAUUAUCUGCAUCAUACCAUGAGUUUACAAAACUGAAGCUGUCUAUAUCUCUUCCAAUGCCAGCUCCGGCCAUACCUGUUUUGAGCAUGGAGUUGAAAACUAGUGCAUUACCGUCUCUUGUUGAUGUAAAGAACUAUCUGGAUGGUGCACCUUGUCAGUUAGAUGACAGCUGGAUUUCUCUUAAGAAAGCUUCACCUAUGUCCAUAUUAAAAAGGAAUAGGAAUCAAAAUAUUAUGAAAACUGAUCCUGCUGAAAGGGGCGAAUAUUAUGAUGAAAAGGGAAAAGAAACCUCAUCGACUUUCAACAAUGUGCGAAGUACAAAAAUUUCAAAUUCCAUGUUUGUGUCACAAGAGGGGAGUCUGGUGAAAGGUGGAACAAACACUGUGUUAAAUGCUCUCGCUGCUUAUUUGCGAUAUUUAGAAGGAACAGCAAGGGAUGAUUGGCAAGAGUUGCAUGACAAGUUACGGAGAGCUGAAAGAAGGAAGGGAGCCUCAUUCAAUGCGUUGUUUGGUUCUGCCCUUUACUUUGGAACUAUAUCUCGAAGGAGAGUGUACUAUGAAGCUAUAAAGUAUGAGAAAGAACGCAAUGGAGGCUUUCUAUCACCAUUUGGAUAUUCAGCACCUACAGUUGCAGCAGCAGUUGAUGCUGUUUGUUCCAUGGAGUGGUAUUCGGUUCUGGCUUUGAAAAGCCAAAUAUGCAAUGAAGGAGUGUACCCCGUUUGGAUUUGGAGAUGGAAAGGUCAUUUUGUUCAGUACACAGCUGUUGGCAACGAAGGACCUGCAGCUCUUCUUGUUCAUGGUUUUGGAGCUUUCCUGGAGCAUUUCCGUGGCAACAUAUCUACCAUUGCUGAUGGUGGCAAUCGGGUUUGGGCUAUUUCGCUGUUGGGUUUCGGGAAGUCAGAGAAACCAAAUGUCAUAUAUACUGAACUUUUGUGGGCAGAGUUGUUGAGAGAUUUUAUUGUUGAUGUUGUGAGAGAACCUGUUCAUCUCGUUGGCAACUCGUUAGGUGGUUAUUUUGUUGCUACAGUUGCAGGUCUAUGGCCUUCUCUGGUGAAGUCUUUGGUUCUUAUUAACACAGCUGGUUCGAUUGUUCCCACCGUUUCGUCUAUUCCUUCAGUUGAUGUAAAGCUGAUUCAGGAAAGGAAAAUAUCUGGGCUUGCUUGGUUGCAGGCACAACUGCUGCUGCUGUUCCUGAGGUCAACAGCUGGCAAGUUCAUUGAGAAGUGUUACCCAACUAACGUAGAGCGGGUGGACGGUUGGCUUCUUGGUGAAAUUCUCAGGGCUUCAUUUGAUCCCGGUGCAGCCAUUGUUAUGGAAAGUAUCGUGAGCUUUGAUUUGUCUAUUCCUCUUAAUUACCUACUUGGCUCCUUUGGAGGAGAGGUAUUGAUUAUACAAGGGAUGAAAGACCCACUGACCAAAUCCAAAGCAUUCUUGUCCAUGGUCAGGGAGCACUGCAACAAGGUCACAGUAAGUGAAUUGGAUGCAGGUCACUGCCCCCAUGAUGAGGUGCCACAGAAAGUGAAUUCAACAUUAAGAGAAUGGAUAACCAGAGUUGAAAGCAGUCUAUACAUCUUGGAGAGAGCUUAAUCUUCUGUACUGAACAUUCCUACACAGUUAACUCUCUUUUUCUUCCGAGAAACUCAAGAGAAAGAAAUAUAUAUAUCACCUUACAGUAAAAAGCCCUCCUAUUUGAAAAUGAACAGAGUUUGGCAACAGAUGCCUCUGCUCAUCCAACUUCAUCUAAUUGAGGCGUUCCGAUUUCCACGUUCAAAUGCAACCUUGCAUGCAACCUUGAUAUCUGGAUUUGAUUAUGAACUCGCUGGUGAUUCCUCUUCUGUAUCAGUUCAAAUGCAACCUUGCUGAGGACCGGCCGCGGACCGAGAAUUAAUAUCCGACCAAGCAUACGGCUUCUUAUUCCCGCAGGAAAUGUAGACGUGACUGUCUUCUAAGGUUGUAGAAAGCUAACUUUACAGACUACAUUAAGCUGCCAAUUGCAAACCACGUAACCAAAUAAAUAUCACGGAAAUGAAUCCAUUCGGCAUCCAA